rnacentral:rRNA from 1 species
CUUGCCUAGAUGAUUUUAGUGCUUGCACUAAAUGAAACUAGAUACAAGCGAGCGGCGGACGGGUGAGUAACACGUGGGUAACCUGCCCAAGAGACUGGGAUAACACCUGGAAACAGAUGCUAAUACCGGAUAACAACACUAGACGCAUGUCUAGAGUUUGAAAGAUGGUUCUGCUAUCACUCUUGGAUGGACCUGCGGUGCAUUAGCUAGUUGGUAAGGUAACGGCUUACCAAGGCAAUGAUGCAUAGCCGAGUUGAGAGACUGAUCGGCCACAUUGGGACUGAGACACGGCCCAAACUCCUACGGGAGGCAGCAGUAGGGAAUCUUCCACAAUGGACGAAAGUCUGAUGGAGCAACGCCGCGUGAGUGAAGAAGGGUUUCGGCUCGUAAAGCUCUGUUGGUAGUGAAGAAAGAUAGAGGUAGUAACUGGCCUUUAUUUGACGGUAAUUACUUAGAAAGUCACGGCUAACUACGUGCCAGCAGCCGCGGUAAUACGUAGGUGGCAAGCGUUGUCCGGAUUUAUUGGGCGUAAAGCGAGUGCAGGCGGUUCAAUAAGUCUGAUGUGAAAGCCUUCGGCUCAACCGGAGAAUUGCAUCAGAAACUGUUGAACUUGAGUGCAGAAGAGGAGAGUGGAACUCCAUGU